CGGGGAGAGGAGAUGCCUGAGGAAGAGGCGGAUUUCCAAUGAGGACAACUCCAGGAAUUUACAGAUGUGUGCUGGAGUUCAAGUAAGAUAAGAUUCAAAAUCCCUAAAGCGAAGCACAGCAUCAAGAACCA